rnacentral:rRNA from 1 species
UGUUAGCGUAUACCAAAGUUGUUGCAGUUAAAACGCUCGUAGUCGGAAUUUGGCAGUUCCGGAUGUGUGCACGUCGUGUGCGCACUUCGCGGGGAUUGCUUUUGUGGUCUUGCGUAGGAUGAGGCACUUUUAUUAGUGAACGUCCUCACGCAACCACUUUUUACUGUGAGAAAAUCAGAGUGCUCAAAGCAGGCAUUUGCCGUGAAUGUAUUAGCAUGGAAUAAUAGAAUAGGACUUGGUUCUAUUUUGUUGGUUUGUUGGGACUGAGUAAUGAUUAAGAGGGACAGUUGGGGGCAUUUGUAUUUCGGUGCUAGAGGUGAAAUUCUUAGAUUACCGAAAGACAAACUGCUGCGAAAGCGUCUGCCAAGGAUGUUUUCAUUGA